UCCCCGGGCUCAACCNGGGAACUGCGUUCUGAACUGGGUGACUAGAGUGUNUCAGAGGGAGGUAGAAUUCCACGUGUAGCAGUGAAAUGCGUAGAGAUGUGGAGGAAUACCGAUGGCGAAGGCAGCCUCCUGGGAUAACACUGACGUUCAUGCCCGAAAGCGUGGGUAGCAAACAGGAUUAGAUACCCUGGUAGUCCACGCCCUAAACGAUGUCGAUUAGCUGUUGGGCAGCAUGACUGCUUAGUAGCGAAGCUAACGCGUGAAAUCGACCGCCUGGNGAGUACGGUCGCAAGAUUAAAACUCAAAGGAAUUGACGGGGACCCGCACAAGCGGUGGAUGAUGUGGAUUAAUUCGAUGCAACGCGAAGAACCUUACCUGGUCUUGACAUGUACGGAACCCUCCAGAGACGGAGGGGUGCCUUCGGGAGCCGUAACACAGGUGCUGCAUGGCUGUCGUCAGCUCGUGUCGUGAGAUGUUGGGUUAAGUCCCGCAACGAGCGCAACCCUUGUCAUUAGUUGCCAUCAUUAAGUUGGGCACUCUAAUGAGACUGCCGGUGACAAGCCGGAGGAAGGUGGGGAUGACGUCAAGUCCUCAUGGCCCUUAUGACCAGGGCCUCACACGUCAUACAAUGGUCGGUACAGAGGGUAGCCAAGCCGCGUGGUGGAGCCAAUCUCACAAAACCGAUCGUAGUCCGGAUUGCACUCUGCAACUCGAGUGCAUGAAGUCGGAAUCGCUAGUAAUCGCAGGUCAGCAUACUGCGGUGAAUACGUUCCCGGGUCUUGUNCACA
rnacentral:rRNA from 1 species